CUCCAGUUGGAUGCAUGUCCCUCUGGGAAAGAUUCAUCGGUAUGGGAUGGGGUCGCGUCCUAUCAGCUUGAUGGCGGGGUAACGGCCCACCAUGGCUUCGACGGGUAGCCGGCCUGAGAGGGCGACCGGCCACAUUGGGAAUGAGAUACGGCCCAGACUCCUACGGGAGGCAGCAGUGGGGAAUAUUGCACAAUGGGCGCAAGCCUGAUGCAGCGACGCCGCGUGCGGGAUGACGGCCUUCGGGUUGUAAACCGCUUUUGACUGGGAGCAAGCCCUUCGGGGUGAGUGUACCUUUCGAAUAAGCACCGGCUAACUACGUGCCAGCAGCCGCGGUAAUACGUAGGGUGCAAGCGUUAUCCGGAAUUAUUGGGCGUAAAGGGCUCGUAGGCGGUUCGUCGCGUCCGGUGUGAAAGUCCAUCGCUUAACGGUGGAUCCGCGCCGGGUACGGGCGGG
rnacentral:rRNA from 1 species